GAUGAACGCUGGCGGCGUGCCUAAUACAUGCAAGUCGAGCGAACAGAUAAGGAGCUUGCUCCUUUGACGUUAGCGGCGGACGGGUGAGUUACACGUGGAUAACCUACCUAUAAGACUGGGAUAACUUCGGGAAACCGGAGCUAAUACCGGAUAACAUAUUGAACCGCAUGGUUCAAUAGUGAAAGGCGGCUUUGCUGUCACUUAUAGAUGGAUCCGCGCCGUAUUAGCUAGUUGGUAAGGUAACGGCUUACCAAGGCAACGAUACGUAGCCGACCUGAGAGGGUGAUAGGCCACACUGGAACUGAGACACGGUCCAGACUCCUACGGGAGGCAGCAGUAGGGAAUCUUCCGCAAUGGGCGAAAGCCUGACGGAGCAACGCCGCGUGAGUGAUGAAGGUCUUCGGAUCGUAAAACUCUGUUAUCAGGGAAGAACAAAUGUGUAAGUAACUGUGCACAUCUUGACGGUACCUGAUCAGAAAGCCACGGCUAACUACGUG
rnacentral:rRNA from 1 species